rnacentral:misc_RNA from 1 species
CGUCGGGGUCCAUAAGCAGCCGCUUCCUGCUUCCGGGGACAGAGAAGCAGAGGUUUCUAAGAAAGGUUUAAGAAAGAGAGAAUUUCGAUCGAGAGAGAGAGAGAGAGAGAGACCUGGAAUUCUGGGAAAUGGGUAACGACGGCGGCGGCUGCUGCAUGUAAGAUGGAUCGGCUCUUCGAAAGAGAGAGGGGAACGGCUCGGCCAGCAAGCAGUGGCUUAAGCUUAGCAGCUUGGGUGGUUUAAAAGAUCGGGUUUUGGGUUGGGUUGGGUUGGUUUGGUUUUGGGUUUGAUUUGUUAACUGUAAUCUGUUUUAUAGGGAGAGAGAGAGAGAGAGAGAGAG